GAUGAACGCUGGCGGCGUGCCUAAUACAUGCAAGUCGAGCGAACAGACGAGGAGCUUGCUCCUCUGACGUUAGCGGCGGACGGGUGAGUAACACGUGGAUAACCUACCUAUAAGACUGGGAUAACUUCGGGAAGCCGGAGCUAAUACCGGAUAAUAUAUUGAACCGCAUGGUUCAAUAGUGAAAGACGGUUUUGCUGUCACUUAUAGAUGGAUCCGCGCCGCAUUAGCUAGUUGGUAAGGUAACGGCUUACCAAGGCGACGAUGCGUAGCCGACCUGAGAGGGUGAUCGGCCACACUGGAACUGAGACACGGUCCAGACUCCUACGGGAGGCAGCAGUAGGGAAUCUGCCGCAAUGGGCGAAAGCCUGACGGAGCAACGCCGCGUGAGUGAUGAAGGUCUUCGGAUCGUAAAACUCUGUUAUUAGGGAAGAACAAAUGUGUAAGUAACUAUGCACGUCUUGACGGUACCUAAUCAGAAAGCCACGGCUAACUACGU
rnacentral:rRNA from 1 species